rnacentral:rRNA from 1 species
UACGUAGGGAGUAAGCGUUGUUCGGAAUUACUGGGCGUAAAGGGCAUGUAGGCGGGAAGGUAAGAUGGGGGUGAAAUCCACGGGCUCAACCUGUGAACUGCCUCCGUUACUGCCUUUCUUGAGUGCGGGAGAGGAGACUGGAAUUCCCAGUGUAGGAGUGAAAUCUGUAGAUAUUGGGAAGAACACCGGUGGCGAAGGCGAGUCUCUGGCCUAGCACUGACGCUGAGAUGCGAAAGCGUGGGGAG